UGCAAUUGGUUCUGAAUGUUGAUAAUUCCUAUUCAUUUGUAAUGGUUAAUUGGGCCUAGUCGAUGGAAUGUGUUGUGUACAUGACUGCAUCUGUUUUUGAAUGUUGGUAAUUUAUAUUCGUUGUCAAAUCGUAUCUGGGUUCAGGAGGUAUUUUAGUUUGUGCUGUUUGAAUGUGCAUAUGUGCUUCAUCGUUCUUCGCAUUUAGACUUAUAUGAGCAUUGCCUAUAAAUUGCUCUCUCGUAUAACGUAUGUAAGCUAUGCGUUAUGAAAUGCAGUGUCUCACAUAUUUGCACUAUAUAGACAAAAGUUGCGAUACCGGUGAUGAGAAAAGUUAAUGCUUGUGUGUAUUUGAUAGACAACGGCAGAAACUCCAACUCAUAAUUGCGCUAGAUGGUAUAAUUAGAUAUAAACGUCGCAAAGAAAAAAAGCGAAGUCUAGAAGUUGAAAAGUAUUCAAUGCUUAGCCGGAUCCCCGAUCAGGUUAAGCACUUGAAUAGGCUAACAUGUGUUAGUGAUACAGACUGCAUUAUUAAUUUAAGAAUGGAUCGAAAUAAUUUUGGUAAAUUGUGAAAUUUACUACUAAAAUUGGGUGGGUUGUGUGAUGGGAACUAUGUGAGUGUGGAAGAGCAAGUUAUCGUUUUCUUGUCUGGCUUAGCACAUCACAAAAAAAAAAAACAAAGUUGUUAAUUUUGAUUUUUGGAGAUCCGGACAAACCAUCUCUUAUUACAUCCACAUAGUGCUAAAGGCCAUCAUAAAUUUACACGUGAUAUUAUUGGUGAAGCCUGAGUCCGUUCCUGAUGGUUGCACCGAUCCCCAUUGGAGAUGGUUCAAGGGUUGUCUAGGUGCCUUAGAUGGGAGCUACAUUAAUGUAACGGUUCCGAGCAGCGAUAAGCCCGUUAUAGGACCCGGAAAGACCAAAUAUCCACUAACACCCUUGCCGUCUGUGAUAGAGACUUAAAAUUUGUACAUGUACUGGCCGGCUAGUAGGGUUCGGCAGCAGAUUCAUGAAUACUACGAGAUGCCCUCAACCGAGUUCAUGGCUUGAAGGUUCCAAAGGGGAACUAUUAUUUAUGCGAUAAUGGAUAUGCCAAUAGUGAGGGAUUUCUAGCUCCAUAUAAGAAAGUGAGGUACCAUUUGCAAGAAUGGGGCCCCGCUGCUGCAAAGCCACAAAAUGUGCAGGAGUUGUUUAAUUUGAGGCACACGAAAGCACGUAAUGCAAUUGAGCGGGCAUUCGAAAUCAUGAAGAUGAGAUGGAGUAUUCUUAUGAGCACUACCUAUUACUCGAUUAAGAUGCAAAAUAGAUUGAUAAUGGUGUGUUUCCUCAUUAACAACUUUAUUCGGUCACAGAUAGUAGUGGACCCAAUAGAACAAGCCUUUGAUACCCUGCCCGUAGUAAACGAAUACGAUGAUGCACACCCUCAAGAGUGUGUAGACACCAUUGAAUCUUCAGCCGAGUGGAAUGUUCAUAGGGAUGGAUCGGCAAACGUUGGCAGAAUUACACAGCUCUCUGAUCCUUGUACUUGUUUGAAUUUUGUAAUUGAACAAGCCUUUAACUUACAUAGUUGGUAGACAUGUAUGAAGACUUUGAAGGGGUCCCUUUAGUCCAUGUGGUCGUGGGAAGAUGGUGUUGUUGUGCGCGGGAAAACAUACACGUAACGCUAGCAGAUAUUUCUACAAGUGCCCUAUUGGUAAGGAUCACGUAAAGGUUUUUAUAUGGGCGGACGAGUACCAUUCAAGUGAACCA